rnacentral:lncRNA from 1 species
GUCCUGAUAUACUUUCCUGCAUUUAUUUCAUAAGGUUGCUGAUUACAGAUUUUACCCCUGUUGCUUUUAGAGUUAUGGCCUUACAUGGAAAACUAUCUGGCCUUAGGCAGCAAGCUGAAAUGUUGUUAUACACGUGUCCAUUGUCUCCAGAAAGAAGGACGUCAUCACUCAGUUCUUCUCCAAAAAUCUUCCCAGAUCUCCCUGAAAAUAUCGUGCUCACUAAAGAAAUGAAGGCUAUAUUUUUUGAGUGUUGCAGUGAAAUAGAAGGUCUGCUUUCAAGAAGUGAAUACUUGCCCCUAAAAAUUGAGGUUCCAUUUGAAGCGGCUUUGUCCACUGCAAAGAUGCUGGAGAUGCUUUUUGAUCCCUCUUCAGGCUAUGUCUUAAAGUCAAACACCAUUUUCAAGUGGAUUACAUCUUUUCUUAAAUGAGCACUCUUUAUACUGCAACCUUUACAAGGACAGAGGGAAUUCAAUAGUGUUUUGUUCUGAAUUAGCUGGAAAUUAUGGUUAUUAUGGUUUUGCUGUAAAAUAAAAAACAAAGAGUGUCUUCC